AUUGAACGCUGGCGGCAGGCCUAACACAUGCAAGUCGAGCGGAUGACGGGAGCUUGCUCCUUGAUUCAGCGGCGGACGGGUGAGUAAUGCCUAGGAAUCUGCCUGGUAGUGGGGGACAACGUUCCGAAAGGAGCGCUAAUACCGCAUACGUCCUACGGGAGAAAGUGGGGGAUCUUCGGACCUCACGCUAUCAGAUGAGCCUAGGUCGGAUUAGCUAGUUGGUGAGGUAAAGGCUCACCAAGGCGACGAU
rnacentral:rRNA from 1 species